rnacentral:lncRNA from 1 species
AGCUGCAGCAAUCCUUGGUAUUGGAACUGACAAUGUAAUUGAAGUAAAAUGCGAUGAAAGAGUCUUCUGGAAGCAUGUAACCAGAUGCGAGCUGGCUAUCUUUUCCAGCCAGAUAAACUCUACAAUGUGGACUUCAAUGCUGGAGAUAAAACCAUUCAGUGCGGCUGACAUGUUGAUGUCUUUAAGCUGUGGUUAAUGUGGAUAGCAAAGGUGUGCAGUCUGCCUUGGAGUCAAGGUCAGCAGAUGGUCUCUCCGAAGAUUAUGACCAUAGCAGGACAUGUUCUGUACCCUUCGCCUGCGCCUUAUUUGUAAGUUUUCACUGAAACAGUUGGCAUGCUUUGAGAAGCUCUUUCUAUCACUCCAUUCCC